UAAUGUAGGCCUCAUCUAAUCAGUUGAAAGAACCUAAAAGCAAAACUGAGGUUUUCCUGAAGAAGGAAUUCUGCCUGUCAACUGCAGAGUCAGCUCCUGUCCAGGAGUUCCAGCCUGCUGGCCUGCCCAGCCAGACCUCACAAUCACAUGAGACAAUUCUUUGAGGGUUGAUGGAUGCAGAGUCAGUCUGUCCAGCUGAACCCUGUGUAGUAUGGAUGAUUCCAGAACUGCUGCUAAAUGAGAGAGCAAUAGCAAGAGACAUAGAGUCUGCAUGUCACAAUCCAUCCCUAGCCUCAGCCAGCCAGAAUCACGAGCAUGGACAUGUGUAUCCAAUGAGUAGAGGAAGACCUCAGAUAUGAAUCUGGAUCUUUCCCAAGUGGGUUCAGGAUGAUAGAGUGUGGCAUUGCCACUUCACCACCAUGACUGCUCCUGACAAUUUUUUCCCCCUGACUAAUCUUAAACAUUUAUAUUGGAUUGUGUUAUUACCAUGCCCUAACUAUUAGGAAAUCAGAGAGAGAGCAUGCCAAAUGGUAGAUCCUCAAAUUUUAAAUGAAUGAAAAAGAAUCAUGAAUUUAGAUUUAAUUCUCAGUGGG